GACAACUCAGAAGACAACUCGACCUCAUAAGCUACCUUACCAACACGGCUAAGAAUUUUGUAAGGACCAACAUAACAGGGACUAAGCUUCCCCUUCUUUCCAAAUCUCUUCACCCCCCUCAUGGGUGAAAUUUUCAGAUACACUAGGUCACCAACUUCAAACUCAAGGUCUCUUCUUCUAACAUCCGUAUAUGACUUCUGAUGACUCUG
rnacentral:lncRNA from 1 species